UUUGAGGUGUUGGACAUUGUAUGACCGGGAGUUUUGACAUUAUGCUCGGAUUUUCAAUCUACAAUGCCCAUAGUGCAAAAAUAUGUGUGGUUGAUACGAUGUUCCUAUUGUUGAUGGCAAAUGCUCCACUCACAUUGUGACCACUCUUCUUUUGGCCUUUUCUCCACUGAAUGUGUGGACUGUUGGCAUUUGCACCAAUUCUUCUAUAUAAUAUGCUGUUUAUGUAAUGCUUGAGUUGUAUUACGUUUUCUAUGUCUGGAUGUAAUAUGCUUAUUCAAAGUGGACGCAGUUAUUUUAGUCUGUAGUCUUAAGAGGUCUGCAAUGCUUCUCUGGAGAGUUCACAUAGGUGCAUGAUCAAAGCUGUCCAUCAGGUGCAAGCCACAAUCUAGCUUCUACUGUACAAAAAAUUGAGGAUAUUGAUUGAGGGAUUAGGAGCUUCAAUUUGUAAGAAUUUUGGAGCAUCUUCCAUCCAAGGGAGGGCCAAUAAGACCAAUAGUUUGGAGCUAAUUCCAACUGCGGCCCCAGCUUUACGGACUGUGGCACCUGGACACUUACACCCUCUUGUUUUAUUCUUAAUGCUCUUUCUUUCAUAUGAUAGACUGUGAUGACACACACAUAUGAAGCAACUGGACGGAUACGGAGAAUGGUAGCAUGGGAAUCGAUUACCUUUCGAUGGUUUCUUUCCUCACUUCCUUUUGUAAUGAAGGGUGGCUCAAGAAAAAAAGAGUUUGGUCAGGUGGAUGUGGGAAGCAUUAAGGAUAAUUUUAUCCUCUCAGCGAUCAACCACAAAGCUUUCAAAGGCCUUUCCCUGGCAUCACUGUGGCACAUGGAGUGAGAUUUCGUGGUCCAAGCCAAUGUCUCAUGGAGAAGUUUCUAGACGGCCUGAUAGAGAAGCUGGCCAGUGGGUCUUCAAAAUCUUCGGUGAUUGGUGCAUGCAGAUUUGGAUGACAUUCCAAAUUGUAGCAUGAGGAUGUAUCUAUGUAUGUUUUCCUAACAAAAUUUUGAUUUGUUACCUUGUGCCAGUUUAGGACAUUCUACAUUCAGUAGUUUUCACUAGCAUUUUGUGUAAUGUUUGAUUUGUGAUAGUGUAUGCAUGUUUUCAUGUAAUACUCUUGAGAGUUGAAAUAGAAGCAAUCUUUCAUUUUUU